CGCUCUGACAACACUGGUGACCCCGACCGCUGAUCUGGUUUCCACCUUUGGCUCCCAAACAUAACAGAGCAUCAUGAAAGUAUACCCUCAAAUACUCUCAAAGUAUUUGCAUGUAUCUGUAUUUAAAAUUUAUUUUGGUUUAAUUUUAUAGUUGGUUUAGUUUUAUAUGCUUUUCUUUUAUGUUAUGUUAUGUUAAUGGGAAGCAAUGGUUGUUAAGGUUUGUGCUCCUAAACAGUUAACAAGAAUGAAGUUGCUAUCACAAGCAAAUUAACUCUAAAAAGCUUGUUAAAAUUAUGUUACUAACUCUUUUGCUGAAACAAAGUGUUCAGCGAAGGAAAGUAAUACACCUUCUCAUGGAAGAUUGUGAGCAUUUAUUUUAGCUGUUAAGCGUUAUAUUUAAUAUGAAAUAUUAGUAAUGCACCUCAAAUGAAAAUGAAUGUCUAUACAACAAUUGCAAAAGUAUAGCUUGUGUUAUAAAAGACUUGGUCCCUAUUACAUUGUUCUUAUACAUUGUAAACAAACUAAGUUAAAACUGUAUUAAGUUUGGGUUACUAAAAACGAACAAACAAAGAAAAAAAAACUUUACUGUUAACUAACAAAAGUUGUUUAAGUUGCAUCCCACAGAUAAAAGAUGCCAAAAAAUAUCACACCCUGAAGACACCAGUUCAUAUCUGUAUACAGUGAAGAAACCCAAGCAUCAAGAAAAGAAAAAUGAAGUGUUUUAUAAAUAAGAGACUGGUCAAUUACACCUCUAUCUACAAUAUAUGGACAAUUAAUUUAACAAUCAGCUAAAAACCACUAGCUGGACCAGAAAAACUGUCAUUUAAUUUCAACUUGGUUAUUGUGUAAGAACAACUGUAUGAUUGCUGUACUACUGUAUUAUCACUGUACUGCUGUAUUAUUGCUGUACUGCUGUAUUAUCACUGUACUACUGUAUUAUUGCUGUACUGUAUAAUUGCUGUACAAUGUGCAUAACCUUGCUAAACUGUUUAACCAACACACAGGUACAAA